rnacentral:rRNA from 1 species
GAAGAACGCAGCGAAAUGCGAUAAGUAUUGUGAAUUGCAGAUAUUCGUGAAUCAUCGAAUCUUUGAACGCACAUUGCGCCCUCUGGUAUUCCAGGGGGCAUGCCUGUUUGAGCGUCAUUUCCUUCUCAAACCCUCGGGUUUGGUAGUGAGUGGUACUCUUUCUGGGUUAACUUGAAAAUGCUGGCCAUCUGGCUGUUGCUGACUGAGGUUUUAGUCCAGUCCGCUGAUACUCUGCGUAUUAGGUUUUACCAACUCGUAGUGGCGUUAGUAGGCGUUUUAAAGGCUUUUACUGAAAGUACAGACAGUCUGGCAAACAGUAUUCAUAAAGUUUGACCUCAAAUCAGGUAGGAUUACCCGCUGAACUUAAGCAUAUCAAUAAGCGGAGGAAAAGAAACCAACCGGGAUUGCCUUAGUAACGGCGAGUGAAGCGGCAAAAGCUCAAAUUUGAAAUCUGGCACCUUCGGUGUCCGAGUUGUAAUUUGAAGAAGCUACUUUGGGGCUAGUCCUUGUCUAUGUUCCUUGGAACAGGACGUCAUGGAGGGUGAGAAUCCCGUAUGGCGAGGAGUCUAGUCCUAUGUAAAGUGCUUUCGACGAGUCGAGUUGUUUGGGAAUGCAGCUCUAAGUGGGUGGUAAAUUCCAUCUAAAGCUAAAUAUUGGCGAGAGACCGAUAGCGAACAAGUACAGUGAUGGAAAGAUGAAAAGAACUUUGAAAAGAGAGUGAAAAAGUACGUGAAAUUGUUGAAAGGGAAGGGCAUUUGAUCAGACAUGGUGUUUUGCGACCCUCGCUCCUUGUGGGUGGGGAUCUCGCAGCUCACUGGGCCAACAUCAGUUUUGGCGGUAGGAUAAAUCUUUGGGAACGUGGCUUGUCUUCGGAGAAGCGUUAUAGCCCAGGGGGAAUACUGCCAGC